GCCUCGAUGAAGUUGCAGGAGGUAACAGCAAUGGCGUCGAGUAAUGAAUAACCAAAUCCUCGUGCUGUAGCUUCCGAUCAAUACGACUAUGUUGAGUCCAAGAUUCUUCUGCACAAGCUUUAUCUCCCGCCUUUUUCGUCUACAAAUUGUUGAUUGCGACUUGCAGAAAAGAUCGGAAACCAACUUAUUCUUGCAGAAUCAUUUGUAACUUGGGGAAUUUUCGCAGCAGAAGGUAGGUAGAAGAAGAAGAAGAAUUUGUUGAAGAUGAUGAUUCAGAGCUUGAAGGUUGCGUUAUUUACUAGGCGAAGCCUUCAUAGUGUUCGUCUCCUCGCUCAAAAGAGAAGCCAAUGCUCUCUUCCCGUCCAUUCCACUGACGAUGAUCUCGAUCAACAAGUGCUUGUUGAAGGCAGCGCUUGGUCCAGAACCGCUAUUCUCAACAGACCUUCGGCUCUCAAUGCUCUCACUACCAAUAUGGGGGCUAGACUGCUUAAAUUGUACAAUUCUUGGGAAGAAAACCCUGAUGUUGGUUUUGUAGUCAUGAAGGGUAGUGGCAGGGCAUUUUGUGCUGGUGGAGAUAUUGUUUCGCUUUAUCGUUUUAUCAACGAAGGGAAGAUGGAACAAUGUAAAAAGUUUUUCAGCACAUUGUAUACUUUUAUGUACAUAGUUGGUACAUACCUGAAGCCCCAUGUGGCAAUUCUAAAUGGCAUUACCAUGGGUGGUGGCGCUGGAGUUUCACUCCCUGGGACUUUUCGAGUUGCAACUGAUAAAACUGUUUUUGCUUUCCCUGAAGCGCUAAUUGGUUUCCACCCUGAUGCUGGUGCAUCCUUCCACCUCUCUCAUCUGCCUGGUCGCUUGGGAGAGUACUUAGCACUAACAGGAGAAAAGCUCAAAGGAGAAGAAAUGGUUGCUUGUGGAGUUGCAACGCACUAUUGUCAUAGUUCAAGGCUUUCGCUAAUUGAAGAGCACCUAGGGAGUUUGGUUACGGAUGAUGCUUCCGUUAUUGAAUCUUCAUUAGAGAAAUAUGGUGAUCUUGUUUAUCCAGAUAAAACGAGUGUACUUCACAGGAUUGAAACACUUGAUAAAUGUUUCAGCCAUGACACUGUUGAAGAAAUCAUUGAUUCAUUGGAAACUGAGUCAGCUGGUACAAAUGAUCCAUGGUAUACCACCACUCUAAAACGAUUGAAAGAAGCGUCACCGUUGAGCAUGAAGGUCGCAUUGAAAUCUAUACGAGAAGGAAGAUACCAAACAUUCGAUCAGUGCUUGACUCGUGAAUAUAGAAUGUCCCUACAAGGGACAUCCAUGCAGAUCUCGGGUGAUUUUCGUGAGGGUGUUCGGGCACGGAUGGUGGACAAAGACUCAUUACCAAAGUGGAAUCCCCCUACCUUAGAGCAAGUAUCUGAAGAUAUGGUGAACCAGUAUUUCUCUCCACUUAGUGAUGUUGAGCCUGAACUUGAUCUACCCACCAAACUACGAGAAGCCUUCCCUUGAUUUUGCCACAUUUUCCUCUUGGAACAAUUGAUAUGCUCAAAGUAUUUUAAGGUCCCUGAAUUUUCAACAUUUGGAUUCAGGUAUUGGAGACUCUUACAGGGUUCACCCAAAUUUGCUUGCCCAAUCCUUCAGGCAAGUUUCAUCCAUUGUCGUCUGCUUAUUGCCACAAUUUAAAGGUUUGAAUCUUCGUCCCAUAGUUUGUGAUGUUAUGUUGAAAAAAGAACCGUUCGUCGUGUUUUAACCAUCUUCCAUACAUUUUUGUUGAGUGAUUUCAAGAGUGCCUGCAUUUUAGUUUACUUAGAUAUGAUCUAAUUCAUCUCUCUGAAAAAUAUAUGUAUAUAUAUGUCGACCACUCCAUAUGUGGAGCCUAUCAUAGACUUUUUAGAGCGUGGAUUGCAACUAUAGUUAGUAAUGGUCUUCACCUAUUUAUAUGAACUUUCUUUAGCCUAAGCACUUCAUAAACCAAGAUCCAACAAAAUUUAGACACUUCCUUGCCAGGCCAAAAAGAAAGUUCUCACCCUUUUAGACCUUUGCUUUAUUUUAUGUUUUACGUAGCUCCUUUAGCGAUUUGGCCAGUUACUCGAGAUUCCCGAUUAUUCCAUUUUCUAAUAUUAGCAAUGUAUAGCAGUCAA